UACGUAGGGUGCGAGCGUUAAUCGGAAUUACUGGGCGUAAAGUGUGCGCAGGUGGCCGCGCAAGUCGAGUGUGAAAUCCCCGAGCUUAACUUGGGAAUUGCGCUCGAAACUACGUGGCUCGAGUGUGGCAGAGGAAGGUGGAAUUCCACGUGUAGCGGUGAAAUGCGUAGAUAUGCGGAGGAACACCAGUGGCGAAGGCGGCCACCUGGACCGUCCCUGACGCUCAAACACGAAAGUUAGGGUAGCGAACGGG
rnacentral:rRNA from 1 species